CCUACGGGAGGCAGCAGUGAGGAAUAUUGGUCAAUGGACGAAAGUCUGAACCAGCCAUGCCGCGUGCAGGAAGACUGCUCUAUGAGUUGUAAACUGCUUUUAUACGGGAGUAAAACGAGACACGUGUAACUUUUUGCAAGUACUUUAUGAAUAAGGAUCGGCUAACUCCGUGCCAGCAGCCGCGGUAAUACGGAGGAUCCAAGCGUUAUCCGGAUUUAUUGGGGUUAAAGGGAGCGUAGAUGGGCUGUUAAGUCAGUUGUGAAAGCUCGCGGCUCAACCUUGGAAUUGCAACUGAUACUGUUAGUCUUGAGUAUAGUUGAGGUAGGUGGAAUUUGUGGUGUAGCGGUGAAAUGCUUAGAGAUCACGCAGAACCCCGAUUGCGAAGGCAGCUUACUAAACUGUUACUGACGUUGAGGCACGAAAGUGUGGGGAGCAAACAGGAUUAGAUACCCCAGUAGUC
rnacentral:rRNA from 1 species